UUAGAAUGCCAUGCUUCUUAGUGAAUAUAAAGAUUAGAAGAGAUUUUUCUAUUUUUACCAAAUAAGCUAUUAUUUCUCCUGAUGACUACUAUUUGUUUAUCAAAGAAUGAAAUGUUACAUUUUCAACUAAUCCACAGAAUAGCUUCAAAAUCUUAAGAAUAUUUUUCUUUGUUUCAACCAAAUUAACAAUUGUAAAAAAUUCACCUUUUUAUUUUUUAUUUUUUUUUAUGUUUGGCUAUAAAUUUUUACCUACUUGCUACUUUCUCU
rnacentral:lncRNA from 1 species